UGAGUGGUGGAGAUAUUGAAGCUGUCGUUAUAGUGGUUUCGUUGUCUGCUGUUCUCGGAGAUGUUCAUACGUAUUAUCAAAUUUUAAAUAUGCUACAACCGUCUGCGGAUUUAACAGCUCUAAUCCCAGAGCGUAUUGUGGAGCAUCCAAUAUUUGUGAAGGAUCACCUUGGAAAAGCAGAAAACGAUUGGUUGGGUUCGGGGACGUUUCGCAUGGGUGAAGUGCUGAGUAAACUCACUAGCAUGA
rnacentral:ribozyme from 1 species